UACGUAGGGUCCAAGCGUUAUCCGGAAUCACUGGGCGUAAAGCGUGCGUAGGCGGCGUGUUAAGUGUGAUGUUAAAUCGUGUGGCUCAACCAUAUCGAUGCAUCGCAUACUGGCAUGCUAGAGGAAGGCAGAGGCAAGUGGAAUUAGUAGUGUAGCAGUGAAAUGCGUAGAGAUUACUAGGAACACCAAUGGCGAAGGCAGCUUGCUGGGCCUUUUCUGACGCUGAGGUACGAAAGCGUGGGGAGCGAACAGG
rnacentral:rRNA from 1 species